UAGAAGAACACAUUUGAAAUGGAUCUAGAGUCUCGUGUCACUCAAGUAAGCCCAUGUGUAAAUAAGAUUGUAUUAUUCCCUCUAUGUUUCUUCAUCGUGUCCAGUUUCCAUAAAAUAUUUUUUUCCAAAAAUAGAAAAUACUUUUUGCUAUUUACUACCUUGAAGCCAACUGUACUAUAUUUUGAUGGAUUUCCAAAGCAUUUGUAUCUUUUUGCCAUACUACUGUUUGGGUCUUCUACAUUCACUCAGUUUGAGACAGUCUGCAUUUACGGUUUGUAUAAACUCUCCAUAUGGGGUCCCAGGCCAGUGAUUACAUCCAGAUAAUGGGCUGCCAUUGUGUAAGAAUCUGAAUAAUGGUCCUAAUUUCCUAAUUACUGAUUUUAUCACAUAUAACAGUUUGGUUUAAUGUUUACACAGAAAGAAAAGUCUUAAAAGUUGUGAGUAUAUAUUGACCGCAUGAGACAUCUAGGAACCCGGGGACGCACAGGCUGACCGAACCACCACCAUUGCAUUACGCCUCAUUAGCUGCAGGGACCUGGUUGUUCUUGGGGACAUGGAAGGCCUACGAAAUGCGGCCCUCUCUGAAGUAGCUUAACGACAUACAUACUUUUGUCAGGGAGAAGAGAGAAACUCUUUACCACAAACUGUGAUGACUGCUGGUAUACACUCGUUCGCAAAAUCCCGUCUACAUCGACUUGAAAUUGACUUAAAUAAUGGGCAAUACACUUGUUUUAUGUAUGACAUUAUGGUUCCAGUUGCAAUAGGGACCUGCGAGUCCCCACUAUUGUUAUUGUUUAUACUUAAAUGCUCUUUUUCCUUCCUCAUAAAAUCAAUAAAAAAGAUUUACAAAAAAAA